rnacentral:rRNA from 1 species
GAUAAACGCUGGCGGCGUGCCUAACACAUGCAAGUCGAACGAUCCCGCAAGGGAGAGUGGCGGAAGGGUGAGUAACACGUGGGAAUCUACCUCCUCGCAGGGAACAACCUCUCGAAAGAGAGGCUAAUACCCAAAAGGGUCAGAAAUGAUCAGAGUCGAAAGGCGUGAGGAGAGGAGCCCGCGGCCCAUCAGCUAGUUGGUGAGGUAAUGGCUUACCAAGGCUACGACGGGUAGGGGAUCUGAGAGGAUGUCCCCCACACUGGAACUGAAACACGGUCCAGACGCCUACGGGUGGCAGCAGUGAGGAAUAUUGGACAAUGGGCGAAAGCCCGAUCCAGCAACGCCGCGUGGAGGAUGAAGGCCUUGGGUCGUAAACUUCUUUAGAGGGAGACGAGAAAGGACGGUAUCCCUAGAAUAAGCGACGGCAAACUAACGUGCCAGCAGCCGCGGU